rnacentral:rRNA from 1 species
UACAGAGGGGGCGAGCGUUGUUCGGAAUUACUGGGCGUAAAGGGCGCGUAGGCGGCCUUCUAAGUCGAACGUGAAAUCCCCGGGCUCGACCCGGGAACUGCGUCCGAUACUGGGAGGCUUGAAUCCGGGAGAGGGAUGUGGAAUUCCAGGUGUAGCGGUGAAAUGCGUAGAUAUCUGGAGGAACACCGGUGGCGAAGGCGGCAUCCUGGACCGGUAUUGACGCUGAGGCGCGAAAGCCAGGGGAGCAAACGGG